rnacentral:lncRNA from 1 species
AUUGCAGGUAGCCUUAGGUUAGGUGCUGUGGAGGAUAGGGCAUAAAUAGAGAUGGCUCCUGCCCUUUACGAAGCAUCAGUCUGUUGGGGCACAUGAGGCAUGUACUUGAAUAACUCUAGUACAAGGUAGAAUAUUGUUAGUGGCUUAAGGAAAAUUUGGACAAACUAUGGGAGAUGAGACAAAGGAGGAAAAGUAAUCCUGCCUAACUGUAGGCAUUAGAAACAGAG